rnacentral:lncRNA from 1 species
AAAAAGCCAUCACGAGAGGUGGAGGAGGCGAAGAAGAAGAGACAGUGGGAGAAGGUGAGUAGAUGAUGGGUGGUGAUGGUGGUGGAGAAGAAGGCGGUGAUGAAACAAUUGGUCAUGGUGGUGGUGGUGAUGCUACAUGUAGGAUAUCAACAAAUAAUACUUAAUUAGUGUUGCAUUUCUAUUCUAUAUAUUUAUAAUAGACUAAAACAUCAAAAAUUUCAUUUUCUCCGAUUGAGAAAAAUUAUACCUAAGAGUUGUGAAAGAAAAUUGUAUCUAACAUUCGCGGAAAAAUGAAUUUUGUAGUUGGUAUCAUUGCCGAAUAAGAAGAAGAGAUGAUGGGAGGAGAGGAAAUGACAGGUGACGAUGGUUUUGGAGGUGAAAACAGUGGUGACAAUGAAAUAAUCGUUGGUAAUGCCGAUGUUACAUGUGGAGAUGAUUGAGGCGGAGUGACCAAAUAUGAAAUCGAUGGAGUUGUAAAAGAGAUGAAUCAUGAAAUGGAGAAAAAGUCACGAUUGAAUUGAUUAAAGAAGACAAAGAAGAAAAAAAUUGAAAAUAAAUAAAAUAAAUUGUGUGUGUGACUUUAAAGGGCAAAAAAUAAUAAUAUAUAUUGUACACAGAAUACUCUAGCCAUUAGUUUUAUAUGGUUAGAAUCUUAAUAAUAAAAUUUGUAUGGUUAUUGGUACCAACUUUUCAAACAGGAUUUUGGUUUUUUUUUUUAAUUGGUGAUUUUAAUGUUGUUCUUCUUUUAAAGCUUGGAUAAUUAUGAUAAUACAAAUAUGAAAAAUAUUAUAGACAAUUUUACAGCCGACAAUUUUACAUGUCUUAUGAGAAUUUAUGUUUGACUACACUACCUAAAC